CCACAAUCAAGAGUUAAAACAAUUCUCAAACUUCUGAUUUCAAAGAUCUGUGUUGGUUCCUUCAAUCAACAUUAAGGUCUGCUAUUGCAAAUCCACGUCCCCUUAAAAGAUAGAAGUGUGACAGAAGCAUCCGGUCCUAGAAGCGAGGCAUGGAGGUACACAAUUGUAAUACCAGCACAAGGGAG
rnacentral:lncRNA from 1 species